UAGUAAUAGAUAUAUGCUUGAAACUUAAAAAAUUUGGCGGUAUUUUAAUCUGUUUAGAGGAAUUUGUAUAUUAAUCGAUAAACCCCGUUUUAUCUUACUAAAUUAUUUGUAUAUCGUUAUCAGCAGAAUAAAUUUUCAAAAUUUUAAAUUUAAUAAAAUGUUAAAUCAAGGUGCAGUUUAUAAUUUAGUUUAUAUGAAUUACAAUAAAAUUAUUUAGGAUUAAUAUGAAAGUGGAUUUAAUAGUAAAUUAAUUUUAAU
rnacentral:rRNA from 1 species